rnacentral:rRNA from 1 species
UACAGAGGUCCCAAGCGUUGUGCGGAUUCACUGGGCGUAAAGGGUUCGUAGGUGGUCGGGUAAGUCUGAUGUGAAAUCUCACAGCUUAACUGUGAAACUGCAUUGGAUACGAUUCGGCUUGAGAGUUGGAGGGGGGACUGGAAUUCUUGGUGUAGCAGUGAAAUGCGUAGAUAUCAAGAGGAACACCAGUGGCGAAGGCGAGUCCCUGGACAACUUCUGACGCUGAGGCACGAAAGCUAGGGGAGCAAACAGG